AUCGUAAUCUCUCAGAGUGACCGUAGCUUGUACACGGUUUACACAGCUCGCGAACGCUGUAUUACGUGUUGUUAAGCUUUGUUUUAUUUCAGUUCACACGCUGAAAAGUUGGGAGGUGUGAAUGCUAUAGUCUCGCGGGUGUCGUAGCGGACAGUUGUUGUGUUUGUCGUCGACGUGUUAGGGAGAUAAACGCUUUCUGCCAAUAAAUCGUCGAAUAAUUGUUCGGCAACGCAAUUUUUUAUACCAUCUGGAAUUCACCAGUAGUGUUGGUCUAGUUCUGGAUCUGGUUUGACGCUAUACACCAUUUCAUAAGUAGAGGCUGUUUCAGAGGAGGUGAACGUAAAAUUUGAAACUGAGUUCAGUAUACAGAAAUUGAACAGACACAUAUCAAGGUUAUUUCACUAAAAGCGGUCGCCAAUUUGUACAUUAAAGACAGUCAAUUACGCUCCAUACUAAAGGAAGAUACCUAAUUGAGAAGGACUAAGAAGAUACCACAAGAAAAAUGUUACGAUUUUCUCGCUUUUUCCUUGCUGUCUUCAUGCUCGUUGCAUUGAUGCAUCUCUCUCAGGGAGAGACGACAACAGAGUUACCCUUCCUCUUGGAGAGAAUAAAGCAAAACAUUAAAAUAGGACAGGCCAAAAUCCACAACGCUGUGUUCGAUUUAAUGGCACACACGACUACAGAGAUGAGUACUACGACGAUGGAGGAAGAUGAUUUUGAACUGACUAACAGGCAAUUAAUUGUAGUACCUAACAGAUGCCCGACCGGCUCUGAUUUCAUACGGGGAAGCUGCCGUACAAGAGUUUACUGAGGUGAAAAAUGUAAAAUCGAGAUUUGGAAACGUCCUAUAUAUCAUACCAUAUACUUUUAAAAAAUUCUACAAAUUUACUUUCUUUAUAACUUUUAUCAGGAGUAGAAUAAAAUAUAGUAGACUCGCGGUUUCGGAACGCCCUAUACAUCGUAGUAAUAUAUUUGUACGAAUAUUCUGUUAAUUCUGUUCUUUUAUCCCAAUUAAAAUAAAAUGUAUCAGAUAGAUAAAAGUCGAUGUACAAUUAUAUACAUACUUUCAUCUCCAUUUUGAAACAUCUUGUACGUACCAAAGAUCGAGCAGCAUCACGUUCGAUUAUCUCAAGGGAGAUUGAAGAGGAGACCGGAUACCAAAUGCCACAUAAUUAUCGAACACUUGUCUCACGCGAGUUUCAUGAAAUUUGACAAGAAUAUGCGAUGACUUUACUUUGGUACUUUUUUACUUUAUGGUUACUUCAAGGUUAUGUAUCCAUUUCUGUCGGCCAUAUUGUAUACAGGGUGUCUAAUUGUAACGCCGAUGAUCCCUCGUGUAAAAAAAGAGAGAGAGAUGCACGUAAAAUGCGUUUGAUUUUUGGGAAACUACGGCUGAAUGUUUCUUGUUGAUUUUUUUGUUCUAUUACUACAAAAUGGAUCAAUUCAAUGAAAUAAUAUAAAGCAAAAAAUGUUGUGCAUCUAUUAUUUCCUUAUAAAACGAAAGAAACUUUUGGCACAACCUAAUACUUAUUUGAGAUGUAAUUAAAUCAUUGGAAUUUCUCACAUGGAAGAACAUUUUUUGAAAAAUUAGAUAACUCUCGAAAAUUAUCAGGUGGAGACAUUUUUUUGAAAGGAUCUAACAAUUUUUUAAAAUUCUUGCUCAAUAAAAUUUUCCAGAACGAUUAGUCGGAGUUUUAAAAUAUAAACGCAGAUGUUCGUCGUGACGGAAGCAGGGAAGUUUCGCGAUUAAACGACAGGAAGGUUGCGAAUGUUGCAAACAGUUUGCCUCUCAGAUUCUUUUCCUUCUUCUCUUUGAACUUCUUCCGCUACUUUCAUUACUUUAAUCGAACGUUCGGAAAUUAAUCCCUUGUCGAAAUCAAAGCUACAACUAUCACUCUGUUCAAUGAACCAAAACUUGCGCAAGUUCCUCCAAAAUAAUCCAAAGAAAAUCAAACUUCUCUCUUUAUAAUAUUCCAUCCUUUGAAUGUCACAUUUAAUUAAAUCCAAUAACUAUAAAGAAAGAGUAACACUCUUUCACGCAAGUUUCAUUUCCUAACUGUACUUUGCAUUUUGUAUUUGUAUGCAUCUUUGCACACUUACACCUAUCAUAAAUGCAUAAAUACUCGUAAUCUACUAAUUAUUAAUACUCGAAUGAUCCAAGAAUCUAACAAUGAGAAAAGGUAUGGAACCCCAGGAAAAUAUCUACGUGUUACUAACGCGAUUAAGCUAUAUAAAAUUGUCGAAUGUUUUCAAGACAGAUUGCAAUUUCGAAAGGAGAUAUUAAAAAAAAAAGAAACGGGAAGAAAAAAGCUAAUUACUAGACCGUGCAUUUCGAUGGAUUUGUGGAAAGUUUGAAAAUGCAGAGACAAGCAGGGUGCGAAUAAUUAAGAAAAAUGUAGAAAAUACCCAAGAAAGAAGGAAAAAUCCAAGAAGUAGAGUCUUCAUAUCGUCUUAAGCUGGGUCAAGUGUUCCCUUUCGAUGAUUCCUUUGGUCGAAAGCGAGGCAACAACUGAAGGACCCAUUGAUUUCAAAAUCCAUUUAUACGAGCGUGCAAUGCAGCGGCGUAGCGCCUCGUCGCGUCUAAUUCGAUCAUAGCAGCGAAGCUAUUGUUUUCUGUCCGCGCCUCUGCCUGCUGGACAAACCAUUGACACGGUGUUGCCUAAUGGAAAUCGCUAUUCGACACACGUAAUGCUGCUCCGUGGACUCUGCCAACUCAUAUUGUUCAACCAAUAAACAAUAUCGUGCCGCGGGUCAAGGUGAAUCGAAAAAAUUCACGGGAUCUGUGAUAUGGGUUCGAUGUUGUCGAUAGAUGGAUCAUAGAACACGACUCUAUAUUGGUUAGAUGAAAGUACAUAUAGAUACUAGGACAGAAACCUUUGCUCUUUAGAUGAAACGAACUUCUCCAUAUAUUUUUCCGAGGAAUAAGAAUAUCAUAAUUUUCAGAGAAGCAUCUGAAAAUAAUCCACGUUCAUCGCAUACGUAUGUAGGUGGAUAUAAUAGAU